CGGGUACUGGCGGAGCCGCUGCUCGGGGCUGCGCACCCCGACCUCGUCGAGGAGCUCGACGGCCCGCCGCUCGGCGUCGCGGCGAUCGAC
rnacentral:tRNA from 1 species